rnacentral:rRNA from 1 species
AUCUAAGUACCCCGAGGAAAAGAAAUCAACCGAGAUUCCGAAAGUAGCGGCGAGCGAAAUUGGACUAGCCCUUAAGCUUUACACGCGUUAGACGAACAGCCUGGAAAGGCCGACGAUACAGGGUGAUAGUCCCGUAGUUGACGACGUGUGUUCAGUGAAAUCGAGUAGGGCGGGACACGUGAUAUCCUGUCUGAAUAUGGGGGGACCAUCCUCCAAGGCUAAAUACUACUGACUGACCGAUAGUGAACCAGUACCGUGAGGGAAAGGCGAAAAGAACCCCUGUGAGGGGAGUGAAAUAGAACCUGAAACCGUGUACGUACAAGCAGUAGGAGCAGGCUUUGUCCUGUGACUGCGUACCUUUUGUAUAAUGGGUCAGCGACUUAUAUUCAGUGGCAAGGUUAACCAUCUAGGGGAGCCGUAGGGAAACCGAGUCUUAACUGGGCGUUCAGUCUCUGGAUAUAGACCCGAAACCAGGUGAUCUAGCCAUGGGCAGGUUGAAGGUUGAGUAACAUCAACUGGAGGACCGAACCGACUAAUGUUGAAAAAUUAGCGGAUGACUUGUGGCUAGGGGUGAAAGGCCAAUCAAACCUGGAGAUAGCUGGUUCUCCCCGAAAGCUAUUUAGGUAGCGCCUCGGACGAAUACUACUGGGGGUAGAGCACUGUUAAGGCUAGGGGGUCAUCCCGACUUACCAACCCUUUGCAAACUCCGAAUACCAGUAAGUACUAUCCGGGAGACACACGGCGGGUGCUAACGUCCGUCGUGGAGAGGGAAACAACCCAGACCGCCAGCUAAGGUCCCAAAUUACUACUAAGUGGGAAACGAUGUGGGAAGGCUCAGACAGCCAGGAUGUUGGCUUAGAAGCAGCCAUCAUUUAAAGAAAGCGUAAUAGCUCACUGGUCGAGUCGGCCUGCGCGGAAGAUGUAACGGGGCUAAGUA